rnacentral:tRNA from 5 species
GCGCCCUUAGCUCAGCUGGAUAGAGCACCUCCCUUCUAAGGAGGUGGUCGAAGGUUCGAAUCCUUCAGGGCGUA